rnacentral:snRNA from 1 species
AUAGCCUCGGAGUUUUGACUAAGCUCAAAUUAAGUAUAUUUUCAUAUCAGUUUAAUAACUGAUUCAUCCUCUGAGGACAAUAUAUUAAGUGGAUUUUUGGAGCAAGGUGAUGGGACAAGUCCUUGUUCCAUCCACUCCAUGCACCAACUGGGUAUAGCAGUACCUCCAGUAACAGUACAUCCCCU